GAUGAACGCUAGCGGCAGGCCUAACACAUGCAAGUCGAGCGCGUAGCAAUACGAGCGGCAGACGGGUGAGUAACGCGUGGGAAUCUACCGUAUCCUACGGAAUAGCUCUGGGAAACUGGAAGUAAUACCGUAUACGCCCUAACGGGGAAAGAUUUAUCGGGGUAUGAUGAGCCCGCGUUGGAUUAGCUAGUUGGUGGGGUAAAGGCCUACCAAGGCGACGAUCCAUAGCUGGUCUGAGAGGAUGAUCAGCCACAUUGGGACUGAGACACGGCCCAAACUCCUACGGGAGGCAGCAGUGGGGAAUAUUGGACAAUGGGCGCAAGCCUGAUCCAGCCAUGCCGCGUGAGUGAUGAAGGUCUUAGGAUUGUAAAGCUCUUUCACCGGAGAAGAUAAUGACGGUAUCCGGAGAAGAAGCCCCGGCUAACUUCGUGCCAGCAGCCGCCGUAAAAC
rnacentral:rRNA from 1 species